UGAGGAAUAUUGAGCAAUGGGCGCAAGCCUGACUCAGCAACGCCGCGUGGACGAUGACGGCCUUCGGGUUGUAAAGUCCUUUUCUGAGGGACGAUGAUGACGGUACCUCAGGAAGAAGUCCCGGCUAACUACGUGCCAGCAGCCGCGGUAAAACGUAGGGGGCGAGCGUUAUCCGGAUUUACUGGGCGUAAAGCGCAUGUAGGCGGUUGGGAAAGUUGGACGUAAAGCUCCUGGCUCAACUGGGAGAGGUCGCUCAAGACUGGCUGACUCGAGGAUGGUAGGGGAAGGUGGAAUUCCGGGUGUAGUGGUGAAAUGCGUAGAUAUCCGGAGGAACACCAGUGGCGAAGGCGGCCUUCUGGACCAUCACUGACGCUCAGACGCGAAAGCUAGGGUAGCAAACGG
rnacentral:rRNA from 1 species